rnacentral:tRNA from 1 species
GCUGAUGUGGCUCAGUUGGUAGAGCGAUUCACUCGUAAUGAAUAGGUCGGGGGUUCAAGUCCCCCCAUCAGCUCCA